CUCCAUACAAUUACAUACAUUCCCUGCUUCCCCCAGGCAGCCGGAUUAUGAAAGAUAUUAUAACAACAGCAGGACUCCUAAAAAAACACAGGAAAACCACUUCUAUAAAGAGGUUCCUGUCAUCACGUGCAUCGCAACCAGAUCACUCAUGCACAGAGCUUACCUGUCAGUAUAUCACAAAAAAAUACAAAUAGGUGGACAUUCAACCUUCCAGGAGGCACAGAACUAUCAUCAGAGUAUUUUGCUUCAGUAGUCUGCUCUUGCUGCUCAACUUGAGAUCCAAGUCAAGUUUCAACAAUGAGUUUGCGCUGGCUGUUCAUGGUUGCCCUUCUGUUUUCUGGGAUGCUUCUGUCUUCUCCAGGAAAGGAUUAUAUAAUUAAAGGUAAAGAAGCAUGUAUCAAGGAAGGAGGUCAUUGUGCUGGAGAAUUCUGUCCUUCAGGUCACACGGAAUUAAAGUUAUGCUAUGACAAUGUACCUUGCUGCAUACCCUCUUAAGAGCAAGUCAGGAUGGAAUGGAAAUAA
rnacentral:lncRNA from 1 species